CCCCAACACUUCUACCUCAGAGAAACUAUUGUCUAGAUUUGAGUCUUUGAAUGUUUUAGACAGAAAAAUGGAUGAAAUUUGUUCUUUGCACAUGCUCAAAUGGGCCCGUUGUCUACAACACGCCUUGGGGAAGCGUUCGGCCUGGUAUUCAAGUAUCUCCGCGGAUCUACCCCAGCCAUUAGAGCAGAUAGAGCUCAGGCAGCGCCGACCCGCCCCUUCCCCUGCGGCCGGCGCGGACCAGUCGCGUCCACUCCCGGCCGCCGCGGGGCCCGGGCUCCUUGACCGUCCUCCAAGGCCACUCGGAGCGCAGCUUCCCUGAGCCCAGAGCCUCCCCGCGCUCCCAGCGGGCGCCCGGGGGCUCGUGUCCCGCUGCUCUCGCCCAAGACGGCCGGUCUCGGCCUGCUGCCGGUCCUUGCUGGGUCUGCGCCGCUGCCCGGGAUUCCCUGGAGAGAUUCGCGGCGUCUCCCGAGAGGUGGCGCGCGGUGAGGGCAGGCGAGGUCCCGGCGCCGCGGCCUCCUGCCGGGUAGGAAGCCCGGGGAGCGCCUCUCCGCCGCCGCCCGUCGCCCCGGAAGUCGCGCCCUGAGAUUCCGGGCACUUUCUUUUUCUUCUUUGGAAUGGUGUGAUGUCCGCGGUUGUUUUUGUCCUUAUACCUGAAGACGCCAAGCUUUUCAAAAGCCAUCAGAAGGCGCGGCCUGCCACCUGGACAAACGCGGUCUCCCCCAGAGCCCGGUUGCGCCCCGAAGCCGGGUUCCGUCCCAUCUCCGACAAAGACACUUCCUGAUUUGCCCCUCGCCAGACUCCAGCAAUUUUCUGGGUCCCCGGGAAGCUGAUUUCGCCUCUGGGCUUCCAUGAUUAGUGGCAGCUGGAGCGCUGCUCCCCAACCUGGGCCCACUUUAGGGUGUGUGGGGCAGGGAGGAGGGUGGGGUCACUCUUAAUCUCGUGUCACAGCUAAAUAAUUUACUCAAGGUCUUCUCUUCCUGCCAGUUCCCUUCCCUGUUCCACUGCCCUUGACUUCCUGCUUUGUGAAGCCCCGGGGAAAGGCCAACUCUUAAUAAAAGUUAAUAUUAAUAGAGGCCCCGUGCGCCGGGCUUCUCCAACACCUCAUCUUCCCCUCUCACCUCCACCCACUCCACUCAAGCCCCUUUCCUCGGGGAAUUCUUUCAAAACUGGAGAUGGGACUUGUACUUUGGGGUAUAUUCAGGAAACAAGGACGCUUGGGCCACAUUGUGUCUAAACCACAUCCUCCUCCAGUUUCCAUCAGCGCGGAGGGUGGCAAAGGUCGAGCGUGCACUCAGUAGCUGCCACACAGAAGCCGCGCUGGUUCCAAAGCAGUCCAGAGAUAAGGGCGGGGGCCAGCCAGCAGGUUCUGCAGGAGAAAUACCUGCUGGAAAGAACAGGUCGAGCGAUUACCAGAGAGGCGGGGAACAAAAUUUACCAGUGUUCAACAGAUACUUUAAAAAAGGCAACAAACCAAUAUUGUACAAAGAAUACGUAACAGUAUCAAGGUCACUGUUCCCUGAUGUGUGUGCGAAUUCGAGCCUACUCAUUUUCCCAUAGCAAAGUCUAGUUUGGUUUGAGCUAAGGGCUUGGACAAACAAUUCCUUCCAAGAAGGUUAAACAACGCAGAAAUGUGAAAAGAAAAAAGUAACUUCUCCAUCCUUUCAAUUCCAUCCCUCUAUUAACAAUGUUAACACUGUUGGAUGUCAUUUCGAGAAUUUUUCUGUGCUUACACAAAUACGUAU
rnacentral:lncRNA from 10 species